UAAUGCGAUUAUACUAACACUAACACAUCAUAUUCUAUUAAAAUAGCGAAAUCAAGCAUGUUUAGGUGAGAGUAGUACUAAAAUAGGUGACCUUCUGCAAAGUCCUCGUAUUGCAUCCC
rnacentral:rRNA from 2 species